AUUGAACGCUGGCGGAAUGCUUUACACAUGCAAGUCGAACGGCAGCACGGACUUCGGUCUGGUGGCGAGUGGCGAACGGGUGAGUAAUGUAUCGGAACGUGCCCAGUCGUGGGGGAUAACGUAGUGAAAAUUACGCUAAUACCGCAUACGAUCUAUGGAUGAAAGCGGGGGAUCGCAAGACCUCGCGCGAUUGGAGCGGCCGAUAUCAGAUUAGGUAGUUGGUGGGGUAAAGGCCCACCAAGCCAACGAUCUGUAGCUGGUCUGAGUGGACGACCAGCCACACUGGAACUGAGACACGGUCCAGACUCCUACGGGAGGCAGCGGUGGGGAAUUUUGGACAAUGGGCGAAAGCCUGAUCCAGUCAUUCCGCGUGCAGGAUGAAGGCCCUCGGGUUGUAAACUGCUUUUGUACAGAACGAAAAGGUUUCUACUAAUACUAGGAGCUCAUGACGGUACUGUAAGAAUAAGCACCGGCUAACUACGUGCCAGCCGCCGCAGUAA
rnacentral:rRNA from 1 species